UACGGAGGGUGCGAGCGUUAUCCGGAAUUACUGGGUUUAAAGGGUGCGUAGGCGGCCAUGUAAGUCAGGAGUGAAAGUUUGCGGCUCAACCGUAAAAUUGCUUUUGAUACUGCAUGGCUGGAAUCAGGAUGAGGUCAGCGGAAUGUGGCAUGUAGCGGUGAAAUGCAUAGAUAUGCCAUAGAACACCAAUUGCGAAGGCAGCUGGCUAGACCUGUAUUGACGCUGAGGCACGAAAGCCAGGGGAGCAAACGGG
rnacentral:rRNA from 1 species